AACGGUGGAUCUCUUGGCUCGUGCAUCGACGAAGAACGCAGCCCGGUGCGAUAAGUAGUGUGAAUUGCAGAACUCAGUGAAUCAUCGAAUCUUUGAACGCAAAUGGCGCUCCUGGGCUUUCCCGGGAGCAUGUCUGUCUGAGUGUCGG
rnacentral:rRNA from 1 species